rnacentral:tRNA from 1 species
GGUGGCUCAGUGGUAGAGUGUUUGCCUUGUGUACAAGAGGGCCUGGGUUCGAUUCCUCAGCACCA